GUUUGCAACUCCUACCUUAGAAGAGAAAUAGAUUGGAAGGAGGAAUAGCUAAACAUUUCAUUUUCAGAAUUAGUCUGAAAUAAAAUUUUUUAAGAAUGCUUCCAAAUCAGACUGAUAAAAUUUCUCUGUCAAGAUCCCCCGAAGGAAGGCCUGGGUCUCAUCCCAGCUGGACGGGAAGAGAGCUAACACGUGGCACAUGCCUACAUGCCAGGCUCAGCCCUUCCAUCUUUCUGUGCAUUAUCUCCAUUUCACCAACAGGGAAAUUGAAGCUGGGAGAUGGUCUGUGAUGUGCCUCAGGGCAAAGGAUAAUAUAACCCUCAGCCUAAGAACACCAGCCCUAGAAGAACCCGGUGCUGGGCCUCUUGGGUUGAUGGCAAGAUGGCAUUGGGAGUCGCUACACCAGCAACCUUUCUCCUCUGAGCUCCUAAUCCUGGCAAUUCUCUCAGGUACCCUGUCCUACCCCAUUCAGAUGCCUACCCUGCCCGAAGGACCUUCCUGCAUUCUAAUACCACAGUGAAGUUAAAACGCACAAAUAUUUACCCACUAUCAAUAAGAAAGUCAAAGCUUUUCUCUCAGAGAACCUCCAGAAGAGGAAAGGCAUAUGCCGGAUGAUGCCACUAAUUUCUGUCUCUAGAUCUUGGCUCAGCAGAAUUCUGCUUCCACACACCUCAUCAUUUAGAGAAUAUCUCCACCUGGCUGAUUCACCAGCACCUCAGUAUCCAUUAUCCAAUUCACCUUCACCCAAAUUUGCCACUUCACCAUUGCCAGGUAGCUGGGAUCUAUUAGUCCCACCAUGGGCUUCUCCUUCUGGUACUGGUUCUGCCACCUAGAUGACCUCAGUUAAGUCGUUUAACCUGAACGGCUUUCUUUCGGUGAAAGAGGAUGAGUGCUUGUAGCGCCCUCUCAUGGCUUAUGUGAGGAAUUGAUAAAAUUAUGUCUGUAAAACAUCUAGCAUUUUGUCUGACAUACAGCAAGAAUGUUACAAUAGAUCUAAGUGUAGAAAUAGAUAUAGCUCCCUUUCCAUAUUAACUCUCCAACACUCUUCAGUGAUGCUGUCUUUUCCAGAAAAGUCUGCCUCCUCAGAGAUGGUGAUGCCUGCAGGAGUCUCCUGGAUCCAUGUGACAGACUGCUCAUUAUAAAUUAAUAAAUUCACAUUCUGGUUUUAGGCA
rnacentral:lncRNA from 1 species